GAGAGCCGUAUGAGGGGAAACUUUCACGUACGGUUCGGGAAAGGGGUAUAUCCGUCCCAAGUGAGGAUAUUUAAUCAUAACUUUAAACCUGUAAAUCGAAUCGCUCAGGUAGCGUUAGAAGUAAAGUAUCGAACGUAUAAGCCGCUUUUAGCGUAAAAAUUUUACAUUAUUGGUUUUAUAUAUGAUGGAUUGUUAUACUCUAGUUCAC
rnacentral:ncRNA from 1 species